rnacentral:lncRNA from 1 species
CGACGUGCACCCGGUACCUUACUUAACCGAGUACCAAUGUAACGUAUCUUUCUUAUUACAUCAUCAUAUACAUGUGACAUACAGGCCUAAUAGGCCAACAUAAUCAUUUAUAAACUCAAAACAUAGGUUGACAAGGCCGUACAAUCUUUUACAUACACGACAUACGUCUACAAGCCUCUAAGAGUACAUAAAUGUCAUAAAGGUCGGGAUAAAGUCCUGCUAUACCAAACAAUACACGUCUAAAUCAUACUAACCAAACAAGCAACUCUGAAGCAAAUGGAGCGCACCAACAUCUUCCGCUGAGCUGAUAGCCUACCUGGAGGGCUCUCGACCUAUCUAUCGGGACCUGUGGGGAUGAAACGCAGUGUCCCCAGGAAAAGGGAUGUUAGUAUGAAAAAUGUACCGAGUAUGUAAGGCACAUAAAUAAGUACAUAACAAACAUGGAAGAAAUAUAGAAUAAUCGACUCAACUUGUAAGUCUGGAUAACUUUGUAAAUCAUAAAUUACUUUUAGCAUCAUGUAUAUGCGUAUGAAUGUCAUGUCAUGCAUAGGUAUAUGUUUCAUAACAUCAUCAGCCUCUAAGGUCAUCCCAUCAUAUCAUAUCGACCACUGUGGGCCAAAUCAUCAUCGUAUACCAAAUGAUCAGGUGGUGGUACGUAUAUAACUCCAUAACCUUUCCUAUAUCCCAUAUACAUAUAUAUACAUACAUAUAUACACUUAUAUAACGCCAUCUGUUCAUGGGUCAAUGUACAUUAAUGCAAUGGAUGAAAAGCGCAUUAAUAAAAUCUUUCGGAAUGUCAUAGGACCAUUUUGCCUUUGAGUAAUAUCAUAAAGUAAACUCUUUCCAACUUUCGUAUUUUUCUGAGACCCAUGAGCAGAUGAUAAUAUAUUAUGACACAUGGAAAUUCAAGAACAUAGAUAUCUCUAAUACUUCUAUGAAUAGAGUUAUUCAUGGAAUUUGCGCAUUUGCAUGUUUCGUUCAUAUUGUAUGGAUCAUGCCAAAAGAAAGAAGGGAUAGCCUUAAUAUACCUGGAAUAGGAAAAAAUACGUAUGAUAUUCUUGGAAAAAGGUUGCACUGUAUUCCCUUAGAAUAACAAAAUCUCACGUUACUAGUGUGCUAAGAAAUCUCGUGGGAUUUUGGUUGAAGAAUGAAAAUCUUCAUUGCCGCAACGAACUUAAUUUUCUAAAGAUUAAUUUGAAAUUGGUAAACAUUGAGUGAUUGUUGGCGGCUAAGAGUGACAGAGAGGGGUAAUCCCACAAACAACUUUCCACAACUCUCUAAAUCCAACAACCUCAAACUUAAACUAAGUUUGAGGUAAAGUGAUUGUUGUCAUUUUUUGGUUCUGAAAAUAUUAGAAGUGAAGAUUGUUGAACUAACAUAGUUUGCCACAUAGCCAAAAAUGACUACGAGUCAUUUUGGUUAAAACUUAGCUUGUCGCCACGUUGAAGGUAAGGUUUCUUGUACUUAUCUAAUUGUUUUACUUAAUUAAUAAUUUAUUAAUCUGCCACUAACCAAUAAUUAAUCAAUUGUCCAUGUAAUUAAAAAUUAUCCCAAAUUACUUAAAAUACUACUCAUUUUUAAUAUACCCUUAUACAUCAUACUAUUAUGAUCAUAUGGUACCUUAUAUGGUACUAGUCCAUAAAUACGGGAUAUUAACGCUCAGCCCGUAUUUUAUCCCAACAUGCCAAACUUGGACGAAAAUUAUUUCUUUGACUUUCUUCCCCUCUCACUUUCACGAAUUUACUCAUCACUUGUUUGAAAUAGCAUAAACCUUAUAAUCUCCAAAUAAUCUUUUCCUUGGACUGACGUCAAUUACCUUAUGACAAAUUCAACGUACAAUACUAUAGGGUGCAACAUCAUCGUAAUUUAAUACUUCAGGACGUAACAUCGACGAAAUAUUAUGGGGCGUAACAUCAUUCCCCUCUUUGGAAUAUUCGUCCUUAAAUGUUGACUGAUGCUCUUAUCAUUUUUAUAACUUAUAGCUCUUUUGAAUACCUUAAUACUCUCUUUGUCACUUAGGUAAUUGUUCUGUGAAUAAAUCCAAAGGCUAGGACAUUCCCCCUUUUAGGCCUCUUUCUCAUACCACGACUUAUGGUGAGGAUCUUUCCAAUCUCGUAGCUGUUGCUACCUUUUAUCAUGCAGUCUGUACGACUUUGAUCUUAUAAGUGCGCCUGUGCGAUUCUUCUCCUGUUUUUCCUCUAACUUUUGGCCAAUCUCUAGGCCUCACUUCGCAAAUAUAUACAAAGCUUGAUGAAGUGUCCCUAUGGGCAUUUGUAGGUAUACUAAAGUUUUUCUCUCGGUAUUUUGUUAAAAUUGCGAUUAUUGCUACAUCUUAUUUCAUAGAACCGGUUAUCUAACCGCGUAAUUUUUUCUGCAUCUAGGUAGAUAAUACUAUACCAUAACUCUUACUUCGAUUUAUCGUUGCUGAGAUCUGCUAUCAAAUUCCCGCUUACUCUUGUUGCUUAUCCAAUAUGUAUAAAUCAAAGUCUUUUAAUGCUUCCUCAUUACUAUUCAUUUUAAGAAUGAUGGCCUAAUCUUAUGUCAUACUUUGUAACUUGUAUUAGUCCAUUGUUGAUUGACCUUAAUUUUGAUCUAUAAUUUACUACUUGAUGACUUGAAUUCUUAUGUAAUACAUUGUUUCUAGGGCCCACGUCUUAUCGGGGACAUCUAGAGUAAUUAGAUUGAUCCACCUAGGGGUGAUACUAUAUUUCCAUAACUGUACUUAAUAGCAUCACAAUGUGACUCACCUUAUAUGGGUAUUUUAUUCCCUUACAAUUCGUGAAAUCCUCUUCAAGUCAUUAUUCAAUCAAAGUCCCAAAUGUCAUUCUUUAUUAUCCAUCAUAAUUACACCCUCAUUCUACUACCAGAGCAGCAUUCCAUUUAUUUUAAAUGCCAUUAGUCUUAGACUCCUUUGGGUUCAUUCAGGCUAUACUGAGCUUUGUAUAACUUAGAGAAACCAUCAUCACUGCUUGUUUUCAUGGGCUUAAUCGUGAGGACUUAUCCAUUCUCGUCACCUUCUUACUCGCCCUUUCUUAUCCUUAUUCCCGACUUUCUAAAACCUUAUCGCUUUACCAUACUUUAAUUUUCCACUUACACAUAUCCAUUUAUACUACUCACAAUCUCCCUUCAACUUGCUUGCACCAUAGACUUCCUUACGUUAUUUCUGAAACAUCGAGCGAGACAUCGCAUUGUCUCAAACUCUUUUUUUACUCUUGUAAUUUAGACCUUUUGGUACUUAGAAACCAUAGGUUGAAAGGUAUGCUACUGACGACGCUGCUAUCGUUCCUGUAUACUGAAUCCCCGCGCUUCUAGCCUCUUAUCCGCAAUAUGGACUAUUCAUAACCUUAUGUAUUUGAUUAUCUUGUAUGUUGUUCACCUUUUCCUUAAUUAACUUAAAAUAUUGCCUCACAUUCUUCUAUUUCUUCCAUAACCUUCCUUCCACAUAGGUAUAAUUUACCUCCAUAACCUGAAGCUCUAUUGUAAUACUUGCACCUCUGGUACAUACAUAAUCCGGUGGGAAGUUCGUAAUGGCUUCUUAUGAGUCUAGUACUUCUUCUAACUGGCUUCCUUGUAGAGCCAUUAUAGAUUAUGGUUGUUGUAUUAUUUUUCUUGAACAUCUGAUAUUAAGAGUGAUUCUGUCAUGUUCUAAAGCAUAAGUUCUAUAGUCCAAUAAUCAGACUCUCGAUUUACUUGGGUGUUGUAAUUCUUUAGUUUCUUCUUCCUUUUGAUCAGCCUUUACGUAGGCUUAAGCUAUCUUCUGAUCUGUGGCUCAUGGUAUCAGUUAUUACCUUAGCCUUUCAUGGGCAUUAUGGAAUAUCCAUGACACGAUCUUCUAACAAUUCAAUCAUUUGUCUAUGUCCUAGACUCAAUUCUUUAUUUUAACUUAUACCGGAGUCCUCUGUGGAUAUGUGAUUGUCAACAAAUAUGCUGCCUGGAUAAUGCUCCAAAAUCUUGAGUGCAUUCAUAACACAACUAACUCUAGAUCAUUGAUCGAAUAAUUCCUUCCGUUACUUCUCAGCUUUCUUUAAAUGUAAGCAAUUACUUUCUUUGGUCGUUCUGCCACUUGUUGCAUGAAUAUUUGGCUUAUCUUAGUGCCCGCAUAUUUUGAAAUUCCAUACAACCCAUAUGAUCUUGAAUAUUACUUUUAAUUCUUACUUCCCGUUCAUUAGCCACGGUAGGUGCCAUUUUCCUUUGGAAUGCUUACAAUGUUGUUGCGAGAUUGUUGCUACACGACCAUUUCCUCUUUAGGUCGUUGUGCUUAGGUUGAAGCCUUCUUUCUUAUCUCCUCAGCUAGUCUUUCAUUGUAGUACUUAGGGAGAACCCUUGACUCUCGUAAAACUGUGAGCUUAUUAUGGACCUUUUUGAUGUCCUUACUUGCCUAUAAUCAUCCGUAGUUGCUUACUUCCAUGCCCUUAUGCUUGUAUGGUUGCUUCUGAACUGAUAUUUUGACUGCCUUCCCAGUGGCACUUUCUUUUAUCCCCGUAACACUUAUACGGUACCUUUAACUACCCCGACUCUUGUUUCAAUAUAUCUCAAGUAUUAUAAUGAUAUUCUUCGAGGUUGAAUUCUCCAUGUUGGGUUCUACUAUGUUUAUCUUACAUGAUCUGAUGACUCGUCUGUAACCUCCUAUUUAGCCAUAACUGGGAUCUUCCUGACCAAUUACUAACUACUCGUUGGCCCAUUCAUAUAUCAAUAUUACUCGUAAUCUUUCUUUGUUUAUUUCCUUUGUCUUAACUUACGUCUCGCAUUGGUUCCUUAUUUAUUAAUAACAACAUGGGCAGGAACCUUUACUUCCUCUCCUUUACGUCGUGCUUUCACAACAUUUUUGAAUCGUAGCGUAUCUGUAAGAUUUGGAUAAGUGCCAUCUCAUUCCUCUUUCAUUUAUUGCAUUCUUCCUUUACCAUUCCAUAGUCACUAGAACCACUUAAUUCUGACUUAAUGUCACAUCACUCCAUAUUCCCCCUUUUAGGGGUGUACUAAGAGCUGAAGCCACGAGGAUCUUCAUAUAGAUUUUUUACCUCUUCAUCUUUGGCAUUGUUUUUCAACGUCAAUGAUCCUUACUCGCCUUGCGACAAUCCUUCUGUACUAAGGAUGACAAAUUCCCUUACUCGCGAGGUUGUCACUUAAUGUAACUGGUACAUACAGUCUCAUAAGCUUAACUUUGCUAACAUUGCUUGCUUUUAGGGAGGCGUCUUCCUGAAUGACCAUUCUCUGAAGUUUUCACGAAUCUUCUUCUAUUGCCCAUCCUAUUAUUGCCGGAACGCGAUAUGAAAUUCUCAUGAUACUGACUAUUAUCAAAUCACUCAAUCCCUAAUUCAUAUUUAGUUUAUCUUGUUCACCAGUCCAUAUUAAUUUCUAUUAAUCUGGGAUUUAACUUUUUUUCUCUUGUUAAUCGCGCUAGAGUUGCGAACUAAUUUCUUGAAAUGAGAAUCUGACUUUAAGGCCUAUAUUCUUUUAUUGUCUCAUGGCAUGUCAUCUUUUGUAUUUUCCUUCACUUGACUGUAAACUCUGUAAUAGUGUCAUCAUUUUUUUGACCUACCGUUAUCAUUCGUGUAUCACAUCUUACUCAUAAUGCUUCAUUAAAUCUCUUCUUAUCUCCCGCUAAUUAUCUAUUUCUACCACUUUACUCUAAAAACUCGAACAAAAUAUUCUUUUGCUUUUGGCUCCCCUUGCUUCAUCCCUUGGCUCUUUCAAUUGCCUAACAUUCUUUCUUUACUGCGGGCGGGAGAUACACUAAAGUAAUAUUUAUUGCUUCAAGGCUUCCAGUGCUCAUAUCUAGUUUUAAUAUUUUAGGGUGCACCAUCUAGGUGUCUCACAAGGAGAUCUAUUAGCACACUUGUUGUGACGACCCGGCCAGUCGUCUCAUGAAUUUCUGCUCCGUUUCCCCCAUUUCUGCUUCUUAUUACUUUGUUUAUCGGUUCUAUGUGUGAUCGGGUUGGUAGCUCGGGUUCGGAAAGGUUUUGGUAAGGUUUGAGACACUUAGUCUCUUUUGAGGGAGCUUAAGUUAGAAAAGUCAACCGGAUGUUGACUUAUUUGUUAAAGGGCUCGGAUGUGAGUUCUGAUGAUUCGGAUAGCUUCGGCAGGUGAUUUGGGACUUAGGAGCAUGAUCGGAAUGUGUUGAAAUUCCGAAGUAGAUUUAGGCUUGAAUUGGCGAAAUUGGAAUUUUGGCGUUUUCUGAUUGAUAAGUGAGAUUUUGAUAUAGGUCGGAAUAGAAUUCCGGAAGUUGCAGUAGCUCCGUUGUGUCAUUUGGAAUGUGUGUGCAAAAUUUCAGGUCAUUCGGACAUGGUUUGGUAGACUUUUGUUCAAAAGCGUAAUUCGGAAGAUUUUGGGAACCUUAGGCUUGAAUCCAAUGUGUUUUGGUUGAUACGAUGUUGUUUGACAUGUUUUGAAGAUUGGUAUAAGUUUGGAUAGUGGUAUAGGACUUGUUGGUGCUUUUGGUUGAGGUCCCGAGGGCCUUGGGAUGAUUUCGGAUGGUUGGCGGAAAGUUUGGAAUUUGAAAAUUGCAGCUAAAGUUUUUAGGACUGCUGUCAUAAUUGCAACUGCGGUUGGGAGGCUGCAGGUGCGACCUCCGCAGAUGCGGAGGACCAGUCACAGAAGCAGAAAGAGCCUAGGAAGGCAGGAACCGCAGAAGCAGUUGAGGAACCGCACCUGCGAUGGUGCGGGUACGGAUUAGGCAUCACAGAUGCGGAGAUUGAGGAUUUAAGUGAGUACCACAAAUGCGGUGUAUGGACCGCAAAAGCGGUAUCUGGACCGCAAGUGUGAAAAGCUUGGUCCAGAAGGUAUAAAAGCACCCCUUCAUGAUGUUUGAGUUGUUCUUCACAAUUUCAAGUCGAUGUUGGAGCUUUUUGGGAGAUUUUGAAGAGGGAAUCAAGGGAUAUCGUCUGGAGAUAAGAUUUUUGAGUCUAAUAAUCGAUCCUAUGGAAUUAUUUCACUGAUUUAGCCUAAGAUUAAUGGAAAUUAAGGGUUAAAAUUUGGGAAACUAGGUCUUGGUAUUGGAGAUCUUGGCUCGAGGAUUUGAGGGGCCAUUUGUGGUUGGAUUUUCGGACUUUUGAUAUGUAUGAACUCGUGGGAAGAUAAGGAAUCUAUUGAUGUAAAUUUUAUCUAAUUCCGAGACGUGGGCCCGGGGGUCGCGUUUUGGUUAAUUUCGGGAUUUAUGUUGUAAAUUGAUUAUUUUUGCAUGGGCUUCGUUUCCUUAGCAUAUUUUGACGUUGUGAUUCUGAUUUUGGAUAAAUUCAAUGCGAGUUGAGGCCGAUUCGAGGGGCAAAGGCGUCGCGGGCUGGAGUUUUGACUGGAUUGAGGUGAGUAAUGAUUUUAAAUGUUGUCAUGAGGGUAUGAAACCCCAGAUUACACAUCGUUGUGCUAUAAUGAGGUGACACACGUGCUAGAUGACGAGCAUGGGGUCGUACACCGUUGGAGAUUGUGACUUAGUCCGUCCCGAAUGACUGUUUUACCGCGUAUUUGAUUGAAAAUUGUUUGCUAUUAUCAUGUUUUGGGCGAAAUGCCAUAUUUGGGCCUUGUGCCAACUAUUUGGGCCCUUAGGGGAUUUUUACUGAUAUUUUCUCACUGUUUUGACUUUAUACUUGUACUCAGCCAUGUUUACUCUAUUUUAAUACAUUAAAUGAUAUUUUAAAUGAUAAUUUAGGCUGAGCAUCAUGUUUUAUUGUUGCCCAAGUGGCUUAUGAUAUUCUGACUGAGUAAGGCCGGGGGCCUGUGUUGCGAGGAUACACUGAUUUAUGAUUAUGAGGCUGAGGGCCUGCGUUGUACGCCACGAGGUGGCUUGAUAUGAGACUGAGAGCCUAUUGAUUAUACCACGAGAUGGCUUGAUAUCGCGCUGGGCCGUAAGGGGUCCCUCCCGGAGUCUGCACACCCCCAGUGAGCGCGAGUACCCAUUAUGAUAUGCGUAUAUAACACCAUCUGGUCACGGGUCAAUGUACAUGAAUGCAAUGCAUGAAAAGUACGUUAAUAAAAUCUUUCGGAAUGUCGUAAGACCAUUUUGACUUUGAGUAAUAUCAUAAAGUAAACUCUUUUCAAUUUUUGUAUUUUUUUGAGACCCAUGAACAGAUGAUAAUAUAUUAUGACACAUAGAAAUUCAAGAACAUAGAUAUCUCUAAUACUUCUAUGAAUAGAGUUUGUCACACCUCUUUUUUACACACCCGAAAGUAUAGAUAGGGAGUUUUCCCAAUUUAAGUGACAUUAUUCGAAAUGAGACUAUUUAAUUUAUUUCAGAUUCGCCACUUGGGAUAUUUAUUAUGGUGUCCCAAGUCACCGGUUUAUUUUAAGUCCCAAAUCGAGGAAAUUCAACUUUCCUUUGGAAGUCUGCGAACCAGAAAUUCUAAGUAAGGAAUUCUGUUAACCCGGGAGAAGGUGUUAGGCAUUCUCGGGUUCCGUGGUUCUAGCACGGUCGCUUAAACUAUUAUAAUUGGCCUAUUAUCUGAUUACAAUACAUGUUUUAGCCUAUGGUUCAAUUUCCUUAUUAACCGCUUUUAAUAAUUAUUGUUACAUAUUGUAAUCAUGUCACGGGAACCGUACCCACGAUCUGCAAUAUAUUUAGUUUUUAAAGAUUAAAUUGUGGUCGGGUCACAUAAAUGCACCCCGAGUUUUAGUAAUUAGGCGUCACAACUACGUCACGGGAACCGUACCCGUAGCUAUGACAAUUAAUCAAUUAACGUGCUUAAAGCAACUAAGAAAUUUCAGGCAAUUUCUAUACUAAUUUUUAUUUAUAUGAGGGCCAUAAAUUAUAGGAUUUUAUUUGUAUAUGGCACACCCCAAUUUAUUUGAUCUAAAUUUGUGAGGGCCAAGUAUUAUAGAUUUAAAGCAUGGCACACCUCAAGUUAUUCUUUAAAAAAAAAUUUAUAUUUUAAAGGCAAACUAAAGGUGCUCUCGUUUUUUACUAAUUUAAAAACUAGCUAUCACAACCACGUCACGGGAACCGUACCCGUAGUCGUAAAAUUUUUAAAAUCGCGCCUAAAACAAGCCACGAGUAUAAUGAUGCUAAACAACAAAGGUAAUGAACUAACAAUAUUGUUGCGAGACAGUUUGUUAACCUUUUCAUAGCAGAAACUCAAACUCCUACAAUAAGCAUGUUAUCAGAUACCUAUUUGAAGUGAAACAACGUUCUUUUGUAGAGAAAGUUAACAAUUAAUUGUAGUGGAAAUUGUAAUGUUUCAAAAUAAUGAUAAUAUCCCAACUCCCAUGCAUCAAAUCCAAGUGCUAAUGGAUAAGUAAUUUCUUACAAAGGUAAAGGACGGGUACAUUAUACCUAUAUGUCUAAAGAUCAACAGAUUUCCAAUGUCAAAUUUACCACUCACGUAUGCUAAUUUUACCUAAGAGCCGCAGGUCUCUUAAUUUGAGUUUACCAACAAAGACCAACUCUUGAGCCAACAACAACAAAGUUUAUAUAAACACACAUAGGCCAUUUAAUGAACUAAGUGACUAAGUAAUUAGAAAAGUCACAUAAUAUUAAGCUAAAUGAAAACAAGGGAAAUGAAUUUCUUAUCACUUCAAUUCAAUACAUGUCAAAUGAUGAGUAUAAAACAGUAAGCACCUAAAGUUAAUUUAAAAUAAAACUUUGAUUCAUGAGCUUCAAUUAAGUGACAACAAACUUAACGCCUCAAUCAUACUUCACUUUUGAUAAACGAGAAGGAACCAGUAAUUGAAAAUUGUAAAUGAGGAUAUUAAGUAAGAACACCAAGGUUUGUAUUUCAGUUACCCAUUUUCACAAUCAAAUUCACAAAACUUAACUUAUAGGCGAUCAAAGUCAGAGUUGAUUCGAAGAGCUCCAAACACAUUUUAAGACACACAGUUAAAUUAUGGACACUAACAGAUCUUUUUCGAUAACAAAUUAGGACAACUUCAAGCAAUAAAUCAGUCGUAAUUAAAGCAAGAAAAUUAAUCAAAUAAGUUAUAUAGUCAUGUUUAAAACUCAAAGCAGUCAAAUACCAAGUCAGUGAUCCCAAAAUCAAAUUAGAUUUGCAACCCAAUGUGUCUGAACCAAACAAAUCCAGAAUCGUAAAUGUUCAAUCUUAGAAGUAAAACCAACACACUUAGCGGGAAGAGAUGCAAACUGAAUAAACUUAAACGGAUAUCAAGAACGAACCUGUUAAGUAUGCUUUCUUUAUAGCAAUUAUAGAAUCGACAAAUACACUGUUUUCUUGACUCCAAAAUUCCAACGAGAUUCAACAACUGUAUCCAGUAGAAUUUGCAAGCCAAAUCGAAAUUUUGAAAGACCACUUUGGACAGAAUCAACAGAGUGCAAAAAAUUCAAAACUCCAUCCCCAAUAUUCAACUUGAGGAUUUAAACCAAACUUCCUUUCUAAAAAAAAAGAACAGAAAUCAAGAGAAAAGAAAACAAGGCUAGAAGAAAUAUGUUUCAGCAAUCUUUUUUUUUUUUGAUUUUUUCUCUUAAAAACCAAAACAAAUCUAGAAUGAAAACUAAAUUCAAGCCAUAUAAGACUUACCUCAUAUAUAUAGACUUCAAAAACUUCAAAAAAUCUGCCCAAAAUCCGAAAAUCCCUCGAGUUGUUUUGAACAAUUUUGGAACAAAUAGAGGGCGUGGAUUGAUUCACAUCUAUCCACGGCUCCCAUUCAUCCAACAAUUGUCGUCUUUAUACAUAAAUCCACGAUUUUGAGUGAAUAUUCGUACUCCUCUCUGACAAAUCCAUUGGGAAAUAGAGGUGACAUGGAGAGGAGGGGACCAAUGAGUGAACUCGGGUGAUCUUCAGGCGAGUUGGGUUGGGCUCAGUGAAGAAGAUGAAUAGUAGCGCCGUUUCUCUGAUUUCUAUAGGGUUUAGGAAUUUGGGGGAAAUGUUUGAGAGGGAUUAUAUAUUGAGGGAAAUGGGGCGGGUCGGUUUGGCGGGUUAGCUCGAUUUGGGUUGGGGCUGUAGGGAAAUAUUUGGGCUGGGGGAAUUAAACUAAGGAUGGCCCAAAUCAAUUCUUUUCUAAUUCCUCUAUUAUUUCUAAUUUUCCUUUUCUUUUCAUUUUCCAAUUUUCUUUCUUUUUUCAAAUUAAAAUAAAUGUAAACUAACUCUUAAAAAUUAUAUUAACCUACCAACAACAACAACAACCCAGUAUAAUCCCACUUAGUGGGGUCUGGGGAGGAUAGUGUGUACGCAGACCUUACCCCUACCCUGAGGUAGAGAGGCUAUAUUAACCUACCAAAUUAUAUUAAAAUCUCAACAUAAUAUUAAAAAAAAAUUAAAUAACUCCUAAAUUAAAAGAUAAGCUAUAAAAUUCAAAAUUAAAGAGUUAAAAUGCAACAUGAACUAUUUUUGUUAUUUUUUCAUAUUUUAUAAAAUAACUAAAUUACUAAUUAAUCUAAAAAUGUAAAAUUAAAUCCUAAAUGCGAAUGCAAGGUAUUUUUGUAUUUUUCAUGAGUUAAAUAAGAUUAAACAUGCACACAAAAAUGCAAAUAAUUAGAAAAACUGUACAAUAAUUCCUAAAAUAACAAACAAUUAAAAGAAAAAUCUAAUUCUUUGGAAUUCUAUAGGAGUAAUUCAUGUGGGAAAAAAAUCACGUGCUCACAGCUGCCCCUCUUUGCUAGGAGACACGAAAGAUUUUCGGGCAAAGAUAAAAUGAGCAAUUACGAGGGAUUUUUGCCCGUUCGAAACUCCAUGAGAAGUAUUUUUGAAAAGAGCCUGACCGAACCUUGCUUCAGAGGUUGCCUAUAUAUCCUUGGCUAUAAAGGAAUCAGGUUAGUGUAGUUUUUGAAGUUUACGUAGCCGAGACUACCGGAAAGCUGUGAUUUCACUAUUGUUGCUGCUGUUACUGCUUGCUGAACUUCUUAUUACACAAAAAUAGAAAAAACAAAAAGCUAAACUAGCUAAGUUUAUCAGCUACGAGUUACAAGAUUGCUAUCUAUAAAUCUCCUGAAGCUUGAUCUUGAGUCUUGGCUAGUUUUUGUUGCAGACUCCGAUCUAAAUCUUGAUGCUCAUCAGCUGUAGGUGCUGGUUCCUUUUCCAGCUUUGGAUCAAGCUGGGACACGCGAAGCCCGUGACUUCAAUCAUAUAUUGAGCAAUCCGCAUCCUUCUCCACUUCAGCCCUUUGAGUCCAUUCUUUUUUUCUCUUUUUUCUUCUUUUCUUUAUUUUAGAUUGAAACUCAUUAUUUUGGUCGUCUAGAACCUUGUGCCUCGAGGUAAAACCUGCUCAGACACUACAACAAACAAACAAAAGAACGAAAUUUUUCUGCCCCAAUUUUCACUAGGAAAAUUUCAUGAGUUAUUGUAACAAAUCCUACACUAUUUCUAUAUUGAAAACAAUAAAAUAAAGAUCAUGUGUCUUUAGGAGAAAGAGAUUAGGGAAUGGAGCCCUAUAUCUAAAAUAACCUCAACUAGGGGUUGGAGACCCUAUGUUGGCAAAGGGCGACUAGGGAAUGGAGGCCCUAUGUCUAAAAAUAAUCUCAACUAGGGAUUGUAGCCCUAUGUUGGCAAAAGGCGACUAGGGAAUGGAGUCCCUAUGUCUAAAAAUAAUCUCAACUAGGUAUUGGAGCCCUAUAUUGGCAAAAGGCGACUAGGGAAGGCCCUAUGUCUAAAAAUAAUCUCAACUAGGGAUUGGAGCCCUAUGUUGGCAAAAGGCGACCAGGGAAUGGAGGCCCUAUGUCUAAAAAUAAUCUCAACUAGGGAUAAUAGCCCUAUGUUGGUAGAAGGCGACUAGGGAAUAGAGCCCCUAUGUCUAAAACUGAUCUCAACUAGGGAUUGAAGCCCUAUGUUGGCAAAAGGCAACUAGGGGAUGGAGACCCUAUAUCUAAAAAUCUCAACUAGGGAUUGGAUCCCUAUGUUGGAAAAGCGUAAAAAAUUGAGAUUGGGGAUUCUGAACUGCCAUUUUUUUUUGAUUUUCUUCUUAUCUCUAUUUUUCAUUUCAUUUUCCUUUUUUCUAUAUUUCAUUUCAUGGAAUGAGUAAAUGCGGGAAAAAAUUUGGAGGGGACUUCCUUUUUAUAGAUUUUGCUACAAAGUUGUUUCUAACACUUGCACAUUUCUUUUCCUUUUUGGUUACACCUGCUUCUUGCACUGUUGCUUUGAAUUGCACUUGUCUCAAAUUUUCAAACAAAGAGCAAUUGUUAGUUUGAAACGGUGGUUGAUUUUGUGGCCUUGAUUGUUUUUGAUCACUUGAUCUCGGCCCAACUCUUUUAGUGAGAACUUCUGCUGCUUGUUGGCUUUUCCGAAGAUCGAUCUCUCUCCUAAAACCAAGGUACUCAACUUUCCAACUUUCCGGAUGACUGUUUACCCGUGCGGGGCUUUGGCCUUUUCACCUUAUUCUGCCUCUAGGGGUUUUUGACUUUGGAUUUCUUUUUAUUUUCAAUAACUUGAUUUUAGAGCAUCGACCAUCAUGGCCAGUCGGGAUCGACUUGAAGCACCCGCUGAGGCUGGGUACUUUUCUUUGGACUUGACCGUUAUUAAACAGAAACCUGUAAAACCAAUCUUGCCACCUUUUCUUUGUAUUAGUUUCGGAACAGAGUUAGACGGAAAGGGAUUCAAAGGAAAGUAAACAAAGGAUAAGAAAAUGAAUUUAAGGAGAAGUGCCCCUUUUCGGGGAGGAAAGAAGGACUUAUCUGGAGUGCAUGCAGACCUCAAUAGACAUGACAUACUUCUUGUACUGGAUGCUCGAUCUACACAACUAUCCAACUUCUCACAAACCCAUUGCGACCCUUGUUUUAAAAAUGAGAAACCUUGCCAGGACUAUUUCGAUGCCAAUGGAGGUGAGGGGUUUGUUCUUUUUUAUCAACGUCGCCCUUUGCGGGUUUUCGCCAAUCGACCUCUCUCAUUUCUCUUCUCACCGUCUCCUUAUAGCGCUCUUUAUGAGUUUUCACUAACAAGACUCUCUCGUUUUUCAGUUUCUCUGCUCUCCAUCGCCUUAUGGUGCCCGUGGAUUUUCACCAAUAAGACUCUCUCAUUUUAUUUCUCUCAUCUUGAUUGCAUCGGAUCCAAACAACUGCAUUCUCUGAUUUUGAAAACCUUUCACCGAUUGAUCGGAAGGACUUGAACAAGGUUUGGGUAAAAAGAACUUGGAUCGAAUUAUAACUUUGGAAUCGUUCAGGCGGGAUCAUCGCCGAACCAUUAUAAUAUCUGCCCCAGUUUCAUUUUUUGGGGAAAUUAGAUUUUUUUUGGUGUGACGGAACCCUAGAGAAAGGCUGCCUACGCAUCCUUUCGGAAUCAAGUCGAACGUAGUUCAGGGAAACAUUAUUUUUUUAUUUUUCUUUUGUUUUUCUGUUUUGUUUUGUUUUGUUUUCUCUUUAUUUCUUUCUAUUUUUUUUUGGUUUUUGAUGUUCUUUUUUUUUCUCUUUUUUUUUACAAACGUCUUCGAGUUCCAAAGAGGGUAAUGAAAGAAAGGUAACCGGCUCAAAGGGUUAGCAAAGGAUUGGAAUGUUUGGGGUAGCGAAAAUGAAAGCCUUCGUUAUCCCAAUCAGAUAAUGUUAUUGCUGCAGAAGGAUUAUACAUAGUACCUUUUGACUGCAUCUGCAUUUACAACAGUUUCAGGGUCAUUUCCUUCAAUGUCUCCCAGAUAUAAUGCCCCUUUUGGCAACAAUUUUCUGACAAUGUAUGGGCCUUUCUAGUUAGGAGCAAACUUUCCUUUUGCUUCCUGAUGAUAGGGAAGAAUAUGCAUUAAAACAAGUUUCCCCACUUCAAAAUUUCUAGGCCGCACUUUCUUGUUGUAGGCACGGGCCAUUCUUUGUUGAUACAACUGCCCGUGGCAGCCUGCGGCCAUUCGCUUUUCAUCGAUCAGGGUUAAUUGUUCCAGAUGAGUUUUGACCCACUCUUGUCUUCAGUUUCAGCUUCAGCAAUGAUCCGGAGGGAAAGGAUUUCAACUUCUGCGGGUAUUACGGCUUCAGUGCCAUAAACCAAAAGAUAGGGGGUUGCUCCGACUGAUGUGCGCAAAGUAGUGCGAUAUCCCAACAAUGCAAACAACAACUUUUCAUGCCACUGCCUGGAGCUUUGAAUCAUCAUUCUCAAAAUCUUUUUGAUGUUCUUGUUUGCUGCUUCAACGGCACCAUUGGCUUUGGGCUGAUAAGGAGUAGAGUUCCAAUGCGUUAUCUUGAAUUGUUCGUGUAUUUUCCUCAUCAAAUGGCUAUUCAAAUUUGCAGCAUUAUCUGUAAUGAUAGUUGCGAGAAUACCAAAAUGGCAUAUGAGAUUGGAGUGCACAAAGUCUACCACAGCUUUCUUGGUGACAGAUUAGAGAGUAAUUGCUUCAACCCACUUUGUGAAGUAGUCUAUGGCAACCAAUAUGAACCUAUGCCCAUUUGAAGCUUUCGGCUCAAUCGGCCUAAUGACGUCCAUGCCCCAGGCAACAAAUGGCCAAGGUGAUGACAUGGGAUGCAGUUCUGUAGGUGGUGCAUGAAUCAAAUCACCGUGCACCUGACACUGAUGACAUUUCUGGAUGAAACUAAAGCAAUCUUUUUCCAUAGUCAUCCAGUAAUAACCUGCUCGGAGGAUUUUCUUUGCCAAAACAUACUUGUUCAUGUGGGGUCCUCACACUCCUACGCGCACUUCAUACAUGAUUCUUCCGGCCUCUUCGGCUUCAACACAUCUUAACAAGUUGAGAUCCGGAGUCCUUUUGUACAAGCAUCACUGCUCAAGAAGAAACCACUUGCGUGCCAUCUAAUGGUUCUCUUUUGGUCUCCACUGGCUUGCUCGGGGUAUUCUUUAGUUUUCAAAUCUUUUGAUAUCAUGAUACCAUAGCUGAAUAUUUGGUUCAGCCUCAAUCGUAUUGUAGUAACCGUGCCUUUCUCGAAUUUGGAUUUCCAAAGAAUCAAUAUGGGCAUUGCCUGGGUAUGGCAGCAUCGAGGCCAAAGUAGCGAGCGUAUCGACUAACUCAUUGUGACAACGAGGAACAUACCUGAACUUAACUGACUUGAACUGCCUGCUAAGAUCUUCCAUAUGUUGCCUAUAGGGAGUUAGUUUGACAUCUCGAGUUUCCCAUUCUCCUUGAGCUUAUCGGAUAAUCAGAUCUGAAUCUCCCAUGAUUAACAAUUCUUCAACAUCUUGGUCGAUUUCCAUGUUCAUACCCAUGAUGCAGGCUUCAUACUCAGCUGUGUUGUUUGUGCAGAAGAACCGAAGCCGGGCUGUGGCUGGAUAGCGCUAACUCGUGGGUGAGAUCAAGAUUGCUCCAAUUCCAAUGCCUUUGGCAUUCACAGCUCCAUCGAACAACAUUUCCACACAUUGGUGUCUUCUGAUGUUAUCUCAACUGAAUUUACCUCUUUAUCCGGAAAGUAGGUACUCAAGGGUUGGUAUUCAUCAUCAAUCGGGUUUUCAGCUAGGUGAUCCGCUAAAGCUUGGGCUUUCAUCGUCGUGCGGGUGAUGUAGACUAUGUCAAAUUCAGAGAGCAGGAUCUGCCAUUUUUCUAAUCUUUCUGUUAGCAUUGGCUUCUGGAAUAUGUACUUUAGGGGGUCCAUCCUGGGGAUGAGAUAAGUGGUGUAGGCCAACAAAUAAUGCCUCAGCUUCUGAGCGACCCAAUUUAGGGUGCAGCAAGUCCUUUCCAACAGGGUAUAUUUGGCUUCAUAACUUGUGAACUUUUUGCUCAAAUAGUAGAUUGCCUGCUCUUUCUUCACGGUCACAUCGUAUUGCCCGAGGACACAACCAAAGGAAUUUUCCAAGACUGUUAGGUAUAAAAACAAAGGCCUCCCCGGUUCAGGUGGGACCAAGAUUGGUGGGUUUGAUAGAUAUUCUUUGAUUUUGUCAAAGGCUUCUUGACACUCGUCUGUCCAUUUGAUUGCCGCAUCUUUCUUCAAUAGCUUGAAUAUGGGUUCACAUGUGGAUGUCAACUGAGAAAUGAACCGAUUGAUAUAGUUCAACCUGCCCAACAAGCUCAUUACCUCUUUUUUAGUUCUUGGAAGAGGCAAAUCUUGAAUAGACUUUAUCUUUGUUGGAUCUAGCUCGAUGCCCCUCCGACUGACUAUAAACCCCAAGAGUUUGCCAGACGGAACCCCAAAUGCACAUUUAGCCGGAUUUAGCUUCAGGUCGCACAAAAAAAUUUCUCAAGUCCCGAGCAUGGUCAUCCCGUGUUCUAGAAUUAAUGAUCACAUCGUCCAUGUACAAUUCGAUUUCCUGGUGCAUCAUGUCGUGGAAAAUGGCAGCUAUGGCUCUCAUGUAAGUUGCCCCGGCAUUCUUCGGACCAAAAGGCACGACACUGUAGCAAUAGGUGCCCCAAGGUAUUGUAAAUGCUGUCUUUUCUGCAUCUUCCUCAUCCAUUAAAACCUGAUAAUACCCAACAUAACAAUCCAUGAAAGACUGUAUCUCAUGUUUGGCACAGUUGUCAACGAGAAUGUGGAUGUUCGCCAAAGGGAAGUUGUCUUUGGGACUUGCUUUGUUCAGAUCUCGAUAGUCAACGCACACCCGAGUUUUCCCAUCUAUCUUUGGUACGGGAACUACAUUAGCCAGCCAUGUGGUGUAUCGUACCACUUGGAUCACCCCCGCUUUCAACUGUUUGGUAACUUCUUCUUUGAUAUUGUCACUAAUAUCAGUUUUGAACUUUAUUUGCUUUUGCUGUAUAGGGGGAUAAUCGGGGUAAGUCGGCAACUUGUGGACCACUAAAUCGACACCCAAUCCCGGCAUGUCAUCGUAAGACCAAGCAAACAUUUAUUCGAACUCAAACAAAAGUUGGAUCAAGACAUCCUAGUUCUUUCAUCUGUGUGAAUGCUUAUCAUGGUCUCUUGGACCUCUUCUGAAUUACCCAAAUUUACCGGCUCGGUUUCAUUUAAGUUUGUCUUAAGUUUAUUCUCAGCUCCAAUUCUUUAUUUAUUUCCCUAAAAGCCUCUUCUUCAUCGUAUUCUGGUUCUUGGUUCAUUAUUUCAUAAUUAGACAACAUGUUUGGAUCUGGGCAUAAAGUCCGCAAGCAUGUCAUGUUAUUUAAAGCUUCAUUAUUAGAACUGAAAGAAGAACUAAGAAUAAUUAACAAAAAUCAGAAAGAAUAAAAAGAGAUGAACGAUGAAAUAUUGAUUUCAUUUCAUUGAAUUUUGAAGAUAACAGGGUUUACGUGGGAAAUUAAAGACAUGAAACUAAAAAGAAAACAUCCGAGUUAUACCCUGAGAUAACUCGUGAUACAGAAAAGGUGGCAGGACUGAACUACCAGGAUUCCCGCCUGACUGGGAAAUGAGUAGGUUUCCAAUUUUGCAGCUUGGCAUUGAGCCCCAUAUACAACACCUGAGCGGUUCUCGAGCCUUCUCCCGGUUGGACCAUGUGGGUUUCAUACAACAUUUGCCUCAUAUCCCCACAAAUUUCUUCAAUUUCCUCGGUCGUGAAGGCCUCAUCUUCCUCUUCCUCAUUGUAUUUUGGCCUGACAAAUGUUCUACAAAGAUAUGGAAUCGGCUGAGGCAAGACCCAACCAUUGUUCUUUCGGUCAUCUGCCCAUUUUCCAUCAGUUGGCGUGGGUUGGAAACCUACUCCAAAGAACUUCUCACUAGCAGCCGGGGUGAUAGGUUCAGUAAUUCCUUGCAAUGAAGUCUUAAGCCCCUUCUCGGGUUUGUAACCAUGUCUGAUCAUUUCUUUGGCAACCAUAAUUGAUGCAUUUGAGAGAAAGAGUUGAGGACAAGGGUUUCCUUCUUCACAUUGGUCUACGACCACAACCUCUAAAGCUUGAUAGACUAUAUGUUCACUUCCUUCUCUAGCUUCGAGACAUGGGACUGACGGCUCCCGGUAGAUUGACUGCUCAUCUUCUCCGUGAACUACAAUCUCCUGAUCUUCAUGCUCGAAUUUCACCAUCUGGUGGAGAGUAGAAGGUACAACCCAUGCUGCAAGAAUCCAAGGUCUUCCCAAGAGGAAAUUAUAGGAAGUAUCCAUAUCUAAGACCUAAAAGUUCACCUCAAAAUCCAUCGGAACAAUAGUCAGAACCAAAUCAAUCUCACCAAUGGUAUCUCUUUUGAUGCCAUCAAAGGCAUGCACACAGACGUUGUUGGGCCUUAUUCUCUCAGUACCGAUCUCCAUUCGUUGCAGAGUUGAGAGAGGGCAAAUAUCUACUCCAGAACCACCAUCCAACAUGACCCUUUUCAUAUAAUAUCCCUCGCAUUUACUGUCAGAUGAAGGGCUUUAUUGUGGGCGGCUCCUUCCGGUGGCAAAUCAUUCUUGCUGAAAGAGAUCUGAUUGACUGCAAAAAAACCUUUCCGCCAUCCUCUCCAACUGUUCCACAGUGGUUUCAAUGGGUACAUAUGCUUCAUUGAGAGUUUUGAUCAAUACUUUUUGAUGUUCAGUUGAAUUCAUUAGCAGAGACAACAAAGAGACUUGAGCAGGAGACUUUUGGAGUUGAUCAAUUAUCUCGUAGUCUGCCAUUUUCAAUUUUCGAAAUAACUCUUCUACUUCUUCAGCACUUACUAGCUUCUUUAGUGGGAAACACUUCUUCGUGGAAUUAUUCACUUCCUCUAGAUUGAGGUAUUGCUCAGCUACGUUAUUUUCCUUAACUUCUACCGAGAUCUCUUUACCCCUGUAAGUUACUACCGCCUUAUUGUAAUUCCAUGGAAUGGCAGUGGGAUCUAUCAUAGGCCUCUAUAGUGCACUGCCAAUAACCACGGGCUCAUUCAGCGUUGGUGAAAUUACUGGCCCCCGCACCACGUAGGUCCCUUUAGGCACAUACAUUUUAGAUCCCUUUUUAGCUCAAACCUUCUUGGAGGGCUCAAUGACAUCUAUUCUUUCUUAUAGCCCCGAGGAACAUAAAGAACGACAUCUUUUGAAGGUUCUACCCCAGUUUCAGUUUGCACUUUCUUUUCUGCAUUCAGAGGGGUGGGUUUACUCUUCUUCUCCCGCUUGUCUUAUUUUGCGAUAGUCUUUGGCUUCUUUUCCACAUCAGAUAUGGAAAUGAUGGCUUUUAGAGCUGGUUCAAACUCUCAAUCUUCACAAAUCAUUCCAAUAACCGGCCCGUUGUUCUUAGCUGGUAAUGGAUUGUUAGUUAUAUUAGGAACGUCUUUGUCCUUUAGCACUAUUUGCUUUUGUUCUAUGAGGUUUUCAACAGCUCUUUUUAGGGUCCAACAGUCUUCUGUAUCAUGCCCUUCUACCCCCGAGUGGUAAGUACAUCGAGUUCCGGCUCUGUAAGCGGGCGACGCUGGGUUCUGCCUGGUUUGGGGUACAGGCUGCAACAAACCCAUCUAGACAAGUUUGGGGAAAAAGUUGGAAUAUGACUCACCAAUGGGUGUGAAGUUUACCAUCUUGGGUGGUUCCCGGGUACGAGCGUUGUAGGGGAAGUUGUUCUGUGGAGGUCGGGGAUUAUACUGAGCUUGGUGAGGAGGUUGAUUUCUGGAAAAUGGAGCUCGGUUUUGAUUAAAUUGUUGUUGUGGCCUAACGUAGAGUUGGGCAUUCAUCACUACAUAUGUCUGAGGAACCAUAGCAUAGACCACAUCCUGAUGGGGAUAGUAAUGUUAUGGGGUUCUUUCAGGGAAAUAAGGUCUGGGUGGACGGGGUUUUCUUACACAUGAAGUUGCCAUUGCCGCUUCUUCUUUCUUCUUUCGGUUUACUACACCUCCAGACCCGCCUUGAAUUGCUUGGGAGGUAGCCCUUAUUGCAGACUGCCUCAAAAUGCGCCCUUUCUUUAACCCAUUCUCAACCAUUUCAUCGAUUUUUAUGGCCUCGGCAAAUGGCUUCCCCAUCGCAGAUAUCAUGUUCUGAUAAUAAUCAGCCUCUUAGGCUUGAAGGAAAAUGCUAACCAUCUCUGUUUAGUCCAUUGGAGGUUUGACUCUGGCCGCUUGUUCGCACCAUUUGAGAGCAUACUCUCGGAAGCUUUCCGAGGACUUCUUUAAUUUGACAAUGAAUUCCUGUCAGGGGCAAUGUCGAUGUUGUAUGAAACUGUCUGACAAAAUCCCAAGCCAGGUCGUCCCAAAUAUGCCACCGAGAUAUAUCCUGAUCCAUAUACCAUUCAGAAGCAAUGCCGACCAAACACUCUCUAAAGUAAGCCAUGAGAAGCUCCUCUUUUCCGCCGACUCCCCACAAUUGGUUGCAGUACAAUUGGUUGCAGUACCUUUUGAGGUGGGCUAUGGGAUCCUCAUGCCCAUCGUACUUUUCAAACUUCGGGGUUUUAAAACCCAAGGGUAAAUGCACGUGGGGAAACAUACAUAGGUCAGCAUAGGACAAACUUUUUUUCCCUCUCAAACCCUGUAUAUUUUUGAGACUCUGCUCUAUGCUCCUCAUCUUUCUGGUAAUCUCCACUUGUUCAGGAUUUUUUUGUGGUUUUCUCCUACCCCACGGUAAACUCUUACCGGGGCGGCUGAGGGUAAGCAUUGGUAGUAAACUGGGCUGGUUCUAGUGGGAAAGAUGGUGCUUGAAAUGUGAAGGAAGAUGGGUCAAAACUAGGCCUGGGUAGAGUGGGUUGUGUCGUAGCUGAACAAGGUGGCGUGGUGAAUAUAUUCGAGGCCACACCUGAAGUUAAUACCUGGGGGCGAGCCUCAGAAGGUGUUCCAACAAAGUGGGCUGAGAUGGUAGGAUAUCUCAAUGGGGUAUUUGGAUAACUUAUGGGGAUGUUGGAAGUCCCACUUGCCUUGGGAAAUAGCUCAGGGAAUCCAGGUAUCGCACUUGGUGGUUCUCUGUCGUUGGCCCAGAUGUCCCAUAUUUCCAUCAUGCGGAGACGCAGAAUUCUAUUUUCCUUAGCAGUUGCUGACUGAAAAGUUGGGAUAGCCGAGAUCGGGCUAUCCUCCGGAAUAGGGAUUGUUGGUAGAUGACUUUCUGAAGACAUUUCAAUACUUCCUUUUGACCUUGUGAAGUAUAGAUGUGAAGCCAGAUUACCACAAAACCAACCACCUUAAUAUAAAACCUAGACUUAACAGUAGACAACAAACCGGUCAGUUUGAAGCAAUUAACACAUAGGUAAUCGCAUGUUGGUGUGUGAUGCACCUAUACAGCUAAAUGUGUUUCUACAUGUUUCGCAAUGGUUGCAUGUUUCAUCCCGACUUUGCUUAUUUUCCCCAAUUUUCUUUUCUUUCCACUUUGGCUCUUUGUGCUUCUCCUCUUAUUCCUAUUUUCCUCUCUUUCUUUCCUCUCUUUCCUUGCUCUUUUUUUUUAUUUUUCUUUGGCUCUCUUUUCUUUCUUUUUGGUUUUUCUUUCGGUUUUUUCCUUCCUCAUCCCUAUUUUAUUUGAGUUAUUUACAAAAUCAUGACUGGAUUCGAUGAGGAUUGCCUACGUAUCACGACACCGUGUGAAUCAGAUCAUUAUGUAGUUCAAGAAAAUAAAUGCGAAAAAUUGUGAAUCAGAUCAUUAUGUAGUUCAAGAAAAUAAAUGCGAAAAAUAAAGAAACAAUUUUUUUAGGAAUUUCCAAUUUUCAUUAAUAAAACUCUUAAACAUUUCUAUUACAAAAGACUCCAUCAUACUCAUUUCUUGGAAUUUUAAAAACUACAAACAGACUCAAAACAACAUUUUAAAACUAAAAAAUGAAAUACAGACUCGAUAAAUGAAAAUCAAAAGUACAUAAGUGCCUCUACUCCUGGGGCCCGUGGGACAUCAUUCGUUCUUGCCACGGGUCUAUGUGCAAGAUCCCCUUGAAGCCGCUCUAGAUCACUCAUUAUUUGGCGAACAAAUGUCAUUACUAUAGCAAAGAAAGUAGUUCGAGUCAUGUUCUCACAUUCAUGGCAUUUCAUGAUGAUGUAGUCGGCAAUUGCUCUAACCCUCUCCCGGAUAAUACCCUUUUCUUGGAGAAAACGCCCGAUUUGCUGAUUCCGAGCUUCCAACACUUGGGUGUCAUGAUGGUUUUGAUUCUGCAAUUGUUACAUAUCUUCCUCCCUCUGGGCCAUCAAAGCAUAGCAAUGUUCCCUUUCGGCUUUAAAGUUCCUAAGCGGUUUGGCCACCUCGUUUUCAAGGGUAGUUAACUUUCUCUUCAAAUCGGUGACUGUCCCCUCAUAUUUUCUUUUCAACUGUUGGACAAACUCUGCUUGCCCCUCGGCGUUCUUUGCCAACUGUGCUCUAGCUCUUGCCAAACCGCUUUCGAAUUUUUGUAGAUCAUUCCCAUACUCAUAUAUUUUGUUCCUAAGGCCAUUAAUGAGUUUUUCAUGUGCUCGGCUUCUUUCCGAAUUCUUCGCAGUUAUCUUCAUCCUUUGGACCUGGGCCCGGAGGAUUUCAUUUUCUUGGGCUAACUUUUUCUUUUCACCCUCUUCUGCAUCGGCUUGAACAUUACUAGCGAACUUGAGGUCUCUAAUCUGUCCUUCUAACCUGCUUAUGGUGGCCCGAUAUUCAUUUUCUUUUGCCAGCCACUCUCAUUGUUCUUGUGAUGCCUCGACAAACUCUUGGAGGUGGGGUCUUUUAGCUGGCUUUCCAAACUCAACUUCCCUUUUGUACCAAGCGAGGUAACCGGGCGAGACUUCACCUCUAGAUAGAUCAUACACUCGGGUAUUUAUUUUUAGAUAUUAGCAUUCACUCCAAAUCUGGCGAACUACUGUUUCGUGAAACUGCCCAUCAGAACAGAUCUCGACCACAUGGAGGCUAAGGUCUUCAUCCUUGGGCACUAUUUGACAUCUCCCAAGCUGUCUCAAAACAAGGUAUGAGGCAUAAGGAUGGAUACUUCUAAGACCCAUCAGGAGGAAAUGAGGCCCGGUAGCUGGCAUGUAUAUGAUUUCAUCAACAGAAAGCCAACCGAACGUCCAUUCUAUUUGAUUUGCAGUGACGGAACGGAGGCGUGAUAUCCAUUUUGUGACCCAUUCUAGCAUGUUAAACCCGUCGACCCUUGUGUAAAACUCCCCUAUGCAGCUUUUCCCUAUCGACCCAUAGUUCAUGUAUUGAGGACGAUGACAUAGAUGUUCAAUCAUCCACAUUUGUAGCAGCAAGUUGCACCCUUCAAAAAAGUCUCAUCUGGCUUUGCAGGUUGUGAGAGCUCGAAAGAUUUCAGACACUAUCAUGGGUGCGAGGGUGCUUUUUGCCUGAGUAAGCAAAGUUUUGACGACCCCAGCUAUCCGUAUAUCGAUAUUCCCAUCUUUCCUGGGAAAUACUAGAAGACCUAAAAAUACCACCAUGAAAGCGAAGCACCUGUGUUCUUCCAAUUUUAGUUGGUUCCCUUUGCUGCAAAUUUGCUUUCUGGAUUGUUGAAACCCCCUAUGUGUCUGUAUUACUGGUAUAUGAACUGUGGAGUGGAGAAACUAGCUGCCAAAUUUGGGUAUUGGACCCCUCUGCUUAUCUUUAGCAAAUCUAGAAACUUGAGUGGAGUGACAACUCUUGGAGUGACCAAAUACUUGUGUCUCAGAGCUUCAGUACUCCCGAUAUACCCAACUGUCUCUUCCAAAGUGGGUGUGAGUUCAAAAUUCGAGAAAUGAAACACGUUGUGGGUUGGAUCCAAAAACGUAACCAGUGCCUUUAUUAUAUCUCCUCUAGACCUGAUCUUCAAUAACCCGGGGAGACCCCCUAAGUAGAGAUUGACCAUAUCUUGUUCUGAUUUACCCAGAUAUUCCCACCACAUAUAUAGUUUCAAAGGAAUCUUGGUCAUGACCUUUAUUGGCAAGUUUUGACUCAUGCUCAUUCUGCACAUUUAAAUUAAGGUGAUUGGUUUAAAACAGAGCGGAUUUUACUAAAGAGGUCGAUUUUGCAAACAUUUAAAUAACACGGCUACUUUUGCAAAUACGGCCCUUCAGAGGGAAGAUUUUAGGGUUGUGCUUCCUAGGUAGCCAAAAAUUUGAAAAAGGGAAGUAGGUGGUUAUUCUUGCAAAAACGGUCUUCUGGCGUCCUUUUGGGGACAUUUUAGGCUAUUUAGACAAGAACGACACAUCUAAUUUUAUUUAAAAUAGAAUAACAAUAUUUCAUCAUUUUUUUCGGGUUAUUUUUGAAAAAAAUAGAGUUGGACCCGAUGGGGGUUGUCUACUUAUCCCACAUCCGGUGAAACUUGCGUAGUUCGGUCAGUUUUGACAUAAUAAAAAUAGAGAAAAGACAUGAGACUUUUGAAACCAAAUUCUUUUUUCUUCUUUUUUUCCAAAAUUUUGGCAGAGUUUCUGCGUAUUUUGGACAUCAGGUUUUUUCAAAGGAGGGUAAUCAAUUCUCUCAUACCUCAAUUUUAUUUUCCCAAUUCCUUCCCUAUUCUAGCAACCGGUCAACAUGCAAACCGAAGCAAAUAACUGCACAAGUAGCAAGUGGAAUAUGCAUCAGGAUGGUCUUUGAUUCUGGGGUCCACCUGUCCUAGACGGACCCAACUCCUAUGUUGAGUCCCCAAAGUCAAAUGCACAUGAUGCAGACAAAUGUUCCUACUAGGGAUCCGGCAUGAGUCAGAGUUAUUCUAAGUUUAAAACCUGGGUAUAUUGUUCUAUACUUGUGUACCCGAGCGGACAACUCGAGCCGCGGGGGGNNNNNNNNNNNNNNNNNNNNNNNNNGGCCAUCCGGCUUUGUAACUUGUCCGAGCCUCUUUCUUAUUUCAAGGUAUGACACUAAUAGAAAGAGGAGUCACGCAAGCGUGCACAUCCCCGAAGAUAAGAAGAGAAGGGUUUCGUAACAUUUUAUAUACCAUUCAAAUAAAAUCAAAGCGGUAAAAAGAGACAUUUAGCACAUUAGGCCCAAACAUGCAAUAAACAAUCAGAUAACAAAUAAAAGCCAAUUAUAAAAGUUAUUCUAAGCUCGAAUUCUUAAUCCCUGAACAAAAGUUCUGGGUUAUGUUCCCCAGCAGAGUCGCCAGAGCUGUCACACCUCCUUUUUACACACCCGAUGGUAUAGAUAGGGUGUUUUUCCAAUUUAAGUGACAUUAUUCGAAAUGAGACUAUUUAAUUUAUUUCAGAGUCGCCACUUGGGAUAUUAUUAUGUUGUCACAAGUCACCGAUUUAUUUUAAGUCCCAAAUCGAGGAAAUUCGACUUUCUUUUUGAAGUCUGCGAACCAGAAAUUCUAAGUAAGGAAUUCUGUUAACCCGGGAGAAGGUAUUAGGCAUUCUCGGGUUCCGUGGUUCUAGCACGGUCGCUUAAACUAUUGUUAUUGGCCUAUUAUCUGAAUUUAAUACACGUUUUAGCCUAUGGUUCAAUUUGCUUAUUAACCGCUUUUAAUAAUUAUUGUUACAUAUUGCAAAUCAUGUCACGGGAACCGUACCCACGAUUUACAACAUGUUUAAUUUUUAAAGACUAAAUUGUAGACGGGUCACAUAAAUGCACCCGCGGGUUUUAGUAACUAGGUGUCACAUCUACGUCACGGGAACCGCAGCCAUAGCUAUGACAAUUAAUUAAUUAACGUGCCUAAAGCAACUACGAAAUUUCAUGGCAAUUUCUAUACUAAUUUUUAUUUAUAUAAGAUCCAUAAAUUGUAGGAUUUUAUUUGUAUAUGGCACACCCCAAUUUAUUUGAUCUAAAUUUGUGAGGGCCAAGUGUUAUGGAUUUAAAGCAUGGCACACCUCAACUUAUUCUUAAAAAAAAGUUUUAUAUUUUAAAGGCAAACUAAAGGUGCUCUCAUUUUUUUACUAAUUUAAAAACUAGCUAUCACAAUCACAUCACGGGAACAGUACCCGUAGUCUUAAUAAUUUUAAAAUCGGACCUAAAACAAGACACGAGUAUAAUGAUGUAAACAACAAAGGUAAUGAACUAACAAUAUUGUUGCGAGACAGUUUGUUAGCCUUUUCAUAGCAGAAACUCAAACUCCUACAAUAAGCAUGUUAUUAGAUGCCUAUUUGAAGUGAAACAACGUUCUUUCAUAGAGAAAGUUAACAAUUAAUUGUAGUGGAAUUUAUCACUCACGUAUGCUAAUUUUACCUAAGAGCCGCAGUUCUCUUAAUUUGAGUUUACCAACAAAGAACAACUCUUGACCCAACAACACCAAAGUUUAUACAAACACACACAUGCCAUUCAAUGAACUAAGUGACUAAAUAAUUAGAAAAGUCACAUAAUACUAAGCUAAAUGAAAACAAGGAAAAUGAAUUUUUUAUCACUUCAAUUCAAUACAUGUCAAAUGAUGCGUUUAAAACAGUAAGCACCUAAAGUUAAUUUAAAAUAAAACUUUGAUUCAUGAGCUUCAAUUAAGUGACAACAAACUUAACGCCUCAAUCAUACUUCACUUUUGAUAAACGAGAAGGAACCAGUAAUUGAAAAUUGUAAAUGAGGCUAUUAAGUAAGAACACCAAGGUUUGUAUUUCAGUUACCCAUUUUCACAAUCAAAUUCACAAAACUUAACUUAUAGGCGAUCAAAGUCAGAGUUGAUUUGAAGAGCUCCAAACACAUUUUAAGACACACAGUUAAAUUAUGGACACUAACAGAUCUUUUCCGAUAACAAAUUAGGACAGCUUCAACCAAUAAAUCAGUCGUAAUUAAAGCAAGAAAAUUAAUCAAAUAAGUUAUAUAGUCAUGUGUAAAACUCAAAUCAAUCAAAUACCAACUCAGUGAUCCCAAAAUCAAAUUAGAUUUGCAACCCAAUGUGUCUGAACCAAACAAAUCAAGAAUCGUAAAUGUUCAAUCUUAGAAGUAAAACCAACACACUUAGCGGGAAGAGAUGCAAACUGAAUAAACUUAAACGGAUAAGAGGAAAUCAAGAACGAACCUGUUAAGUAAUCUUUCUUUAUAGCAAUUAUAGAAUCGACAAAUACACUGUUUUCUUGACUCCAAAAUUCCAGCGAGAUUCAGCAACAAUAUCGAGCAAAAUUUGCAAGCCAAAUCGAAAUUUCGAAAGACCACUUCGGACAGAAUCGACAAAGUGCAGAAAAUGCAAAACUCCAGCCCCAAUCUUCAACUUGAGGAUUUAAACCAAACUUCCUUUCUAAAAAAAAGAACAGAAAUCAAGAGAAAAAGAAAACAAGGUUAGAAGAAAUCUAUUUCAACAAUCUUUUUUUUAUUUUUUCUCUUAAAAAACAAAACAAAGCUCGAAUGAAAACUAAAUUCAAGCCAUAUUUUUUGUGUAUCUUUUCUGAAAAAAAUGACAAAGAAGACUGAAAAAGAAAAAGGAAAAGAAAACUUGAAGGAAAGUGACGACUAAAAAUCUAGAAAUUGACUAAGAUUUCUGAAAAGUUUCUCCGAUUUUUCCUCUAACCUAGCAUAUAAGACUUACCUCAUAUAUAUAGCCUUCAAAAACUUCAAACAAUCUGCCCAAAAUCCAAAAAUCCCUCGAAUUGUUUUGAACAAUUUUGGGACAAAUGGAGGGCGUGGAUUGAUUCACAUCUAUCCACGACUCCCAUUCAUCCAACAAUUGUCCUCUUUGUACAGAAAUUCGCAAUUUUGAGCGAAU